rnacentral:lncRNA from 1 species
GAGGUUAUAAUCUGGCAAAAUUGCAACAUCUUUACAGUAGUUCACCAAAUUUUUGAAAAUGGUACUCUUAACUAUUACAAGAAUCCUAUCAUCCUUCAUACACAGGAAAGAAUGACUAACAACACAUGUCAGCAUGUGUAAGUAUACUAAAGUUGUACUAAAUCAAGGGACGGAGGGAGUACAUGUGAAGUAUAGGUACUACGAUGUGAACACUAUCUAGCCAGAAUACUAUAAUAAGCACAGACCGAAACAACAGAGUUGAAAUAAUGUUGAAACUAACAAUAAAAUACCGCCUACAAGUAGUCAUGCCAAAUGAACAAACAACAACCUGAGCCAAAACUUUCUACCAUCCAACACAAGCCUAGCCAAAGCACUUGCUGGCUGUGCGAAGGCUCAGGACAUCAAGUGGUGCGCUUCUCCACUAUGUUAGUAAUUUUUACAUAGAAAUUCCAUGUAGGAUCAGUAUCUAGUUUACAUAGAAGACCAGGGUCCUCAUUAUUCCAUAGUUUCCUUUAUUUCCCAGAAUACUAAGUAUAUGUGUUCGUUUCAAGAGUAUUACACUUGGUAGCAGUGCGUUCCGAUGCAUCCAGGAGAAAUUAGAACAGUGAAUGCAUUAGGACCCUGCAAAAUAAUAUAAGCGUAGAUGAAAUUCUUAUACAUACACAACAUCUGGCUCUAUAUCCUAGCUCCCGCGUUCUUCUCACCAGGACUCAUGUUGAAGUCGUCAUACCGCUGCUGCCCUGUGUUGCAGUUGCAUCAACUCCUCGUGUUGAUGCCCACACAGUGGCACCACUGUGUCGUAACAAUCUGGGGUGGCUUAGUGUCCUUUUGUGCCCCCCGCCUCCAGCUCAUUGCGCGCAGAUGGAUCACAAGUUCCCUUUUUCAGAAGGUAAAUCAUGAGCACAUUAAUCUUCUCGGAAGGUAUAAUUUGGUGUGCACCCAUAUAGAAAUAACAAAAGUGGCUCUCAACUAUUUCAAAUAUAGGCCUGCUAAAAUACAACACCCACUCAAGAGGGAAGUCACACAACUUGAUGAUUCGAGAUGCUGUCAUUGAAGCUAUUCUUGUCUGUACUACAAAACAAAGAUCAAGGCAAUUAAAACUAUCACCAGAUCAUGAGUGUCUAAGACAAUAUAUAUGCUGUGUUAAACCCCAAUUUUUCAUGGCUUGCGAGCAAUUCGCAGAACAUCCAUCGAACAUUGCCAUGGAGUUAGAUAUCUCCUACACUGUCAGAUUUUUUAAAUCUCAUACUACCACCUCCAAUUGAUGAUUCAGGGCCUGUUUGAUAGCUCUGUAUUUUCUAAGUAUUCUGGAAAUACUACAGUUUUUA